AGAGUUUGAUUCCUGGCUCAGGAUGAACGCUGGCGGCGUGCUUAACACAUGCAAGUCGAACGAACCUUCGGGUGAGUGGCGGACGGGUGAGUAACGCGUGGGAAUCUGCCCUCAGGAGGGGGAUAACGGCUGGAAACGGCCGCUAAUACCCCAUAUGCCGAGAGGUGAAAUGAAUUUCGCCUGAGGAUGAGCCCGCGUCUGAUUAGCUAGUUGGUGAGGUAAGAGCUCACCAAGGCAUCGAUCAGUAGCUGGUCUGAGAGGAUGAUCAGCCACACUGGGACUGAGACACGGCCCAGACUCCUACGGGAGGCAGCAGUGGGGAAUUUUCCGCAAUGGGCGAAAGCCUGACGGAGCAACGCCGCGUGAGGGAUGAAGGCCUCUGGGCUGUAAACCUCUUUUCUCAAGGAAGAAGAUCUGACGGUACUUGAGGAAUAAGCCACGGCUAAUUCCGUGCCAGCAGCCGCGGUAAUACGGGAGUGGCAAGCGUUAUCCGGAAUUAUUGGGCGUAAAGCGUCCGCAGGCGGCCCUUCAAGUCUGCUGUUAAAACGUGGAGCUUAACUCCAUCAUGGCAGUGGAAACUGUUGGGCUCGAGUGUGGUAGGGGCAGAGGGAAUUCCCGGUGUAGCGGUGAAAUGCGUAGAUAUCGGGAAGAACACCAGUGGCGAAGGCGCUCUGCUGGGCCAUAACUGACGCUCAUGGACGAAAGCCAGGGGAGCGAAAGGGAUUAGAUACCCCUGUAGUCCUGGCCGUAAACGAUGAACACUAGGUGUCGGGGGAAUCGACCCCCUCGGUGUCGUAGCCAACGCGUUAAGUGUUCCGCCUGGGGAGUACGCACGCAAGUGUGAAACUCAAAGGAAUUGACGGGGGCCCGCACAAGCGGUGGAGUAUGUGGUUUAAUUCGAUGCAACGCGAAGAACCUUACCAGGGUUUGACAUCCUGCGAACCUCUUGGAAACGAGAGGGUGCCUUCGGGAGCGCAGUGACAGGUGGUGCAUGGCUGUCGUCAGCUCGUGUCGUGAGAUGUUGGGUUAAGUCCCGCAACGAGCGCAACCCACGUCUUUAGUUGCCAGCAUUUAGUUGGGCACUCUAGAGAGACCGCCGGUGAUAAACCGGAGGAAGGUGUGGAUGACGUCAAGUCAUCAUGCCCCUUACAUCCUGGGCUACACACGUACUACAAUGCUACGGACAAAGAGCAGCAAGUUCGCGAGGACAAGCAAAUCUCAUAAACCGUGGCUCAGUUCAGAUCGUAGGCUGCAACUCGCCUACGUGAAGGAGGAAUCGCUAGUAAUCGCAGGUCAGCAUACUGCGGUGAAUACGUUCCCGGGCCUUGUACACACCGCCCGUCACACCAUGGAAGUUGGCCACGCCCGAAGCCGUUACUCCAACCCUUGUGGAGGAGGACGUCGAAGGUGGGGCUGAUGACUGGGGUGAAGUCGUAACAAGGUAGCCGUACCGGAAGGUGCGGCUGGAUCACCUCCU
rnacentral:rRNA from 1 species